CAGCAGCCGCGGUAACACAGAGGGUGCGAGCGUUAAUCGGAUUUACUGGGCGUAAAGCGUGCGUAGGCGGCUAAUUGAGUCGGAUGUGAAAUCCCCGAGCUUAACUUGGGAAUUGCAUUCGAUACUGGUUAGCUAGAGUGUGGGAGAGGAUGGUAGAAUUCCAGGUGUAGCGGUGAAAUGCGUAGAGAUCUGGAGGAAUACCGAUGGCGAAGGCAGCCAUCUGGCCUAACACUGACGCUGAGGUACGAAAGCAUGGGGAGCAAACAGGAUUAGAUACCCGGGUAGUCCCUGUCUCUUAUAC
rnacentral:rRNA from 1 species